GAAAAGUCAACCUCACUGCUGUCCCUUUGGGACACCAACGCAGUGGCAGUUAGCAAGCAAGCGUGGUGAUCACGAUUCUAGAGAAAGCAGCAAUCUUGGCAUUGUCUCAGUGUGUCUUCACUAGACGCCACAGAAGAAGGAAGUCAAAGAUGUAGUGGAGGCAGUGAGUGGGAGAAGAAGAACAGGACGAGUGAGUCAGCUGAGCUUCACGGUGCUUCAGUCUGAGGUGGUGGACGGUUGUCAAGCGAAACCUAUGCAGCAACGACAUACAGAUGAAGAUUUGACAGAACACGAGGAGAUGUUUUCAAAUCAAACGGCUGAGACUCGACUUGAAGGCGUUGCCGCAGACUGGAAUAAGACGGCUUCAGCCUCGUCGGAUCUCUGCGUCUCUGUGUCUGAGCUCUCCUUUCGUCAGCCAAGUCUCCGUCUCUGGAGGAGGAUCUGGGCAGGAGAGCGCCAAAGCAUUCAGGAGUACACAAAUACGCGUCCCUGUCAAAUAAAGCUCAACACUUUGUUUCCAUUGUCUCGUGAUAAUUGUGCAUAUUAGCUCCAGGGGCGCGUUUUGCCGUAUGUAUAUGCAUCCGCAUGUUUGUCUGCAGAUUAGAAGCUGCAGGUGUCGGCUCGGAGACAAACAGCUAUUGCGUGUGAUUAUUCGCGCUUGUGUAACUUGUAUGACACGCUUCAUUUGCCCGCAGCGCCAAGCAGGUGGAAAACGCGGCGACGUGAGGGGAAACAGGACAGAGGGUGAAGCGUAGGGGAGGAGUGAGAAAGUCCACACGCACCAGAAAAUACGUAGAAGGAAACAGGAUACUGCUUUUGUGGAAAAUAUUUUGUCCUGGAACUUUAUCAAAAAGUGAAAGAUUCCCCAAAUUCUUACUCGGGUAACGAUUCAAUGACUGUUUCCCAAGUAGAAACGUGCCUUUAACCGCACUAAGCGUCCAGUUUCCCGUCAUGUCACACCCAGAGUCGUCACAGGGAACAUGGCUGAAAGCAUCCACCCCAUGAUGUGUUCGGGGAGUUGCACUGUCCCACCAGCCUCCACUCUGCUUAACAUGUGCAUAGCAAUGAGCAGGACUAUAUGAGCUUCCUUAAAUGUAAGCAGCACUGCUGCAUAGCAAGCAGCUCUGAACGCCCCUGCUGCAGCUACAUCUCCCUAUGGAGCCUCUGGAAUAACAGCAGCCACGCUCCUGUUGGCAUUGUCGUCAGGUAGACGAGCCUGUUUUAGCCUCAGGACGUGUGGAGAUGUUUAGUCCCACUGUUUCGUUGUAUUUAAAACAAACCUAUGAGGAACCGGGAGUCUGAGCAUCCCUCCGCCUGCGACCGACCAUAACCUCUCAGCUCAUCUGCUUCAUUAAUGUAAACACACGAGAGGCGAUAUGUGCUGAAUAUGUAAUCGACUCCCUCAGGCCCUGAGUCAAAUUAAAAGCGCUGUGAUGUGUUGGUAUGUGGAGCAGUGGCAGCGCCGGUGUCUGGGCUUUAGAGCUGAUGCUGCCACUUUAAUGUCUGUCAGGUAAAUGGAGCCUCGCGGAAGCAGUGAACGCACGUGU
ensembl:lncRNA